GUUAACUUGUUAUUGAGGAAGAGAUCCAGUUGCAGAAGACAGCUGAGUCAGACAGACAAAAACAACUUCAGCCCCUGAGACGACACUGAGCCUUGACUUUUCCUCUGCAACGCAGAAUUCCCCAACCUGUGGGAAAUGGUGUGACUAAUCAUCAAUGCCUGUCGGUAUGUGGUGCGCAAGAUCCGGGCUUCGUUUGGAGGCGAGGAACAGCCGGAGAAAAUAAGCACCACAGCAUGUAGACAGGCAAAAGGAGAAAAAGACGGCAUGAUGAGCGCUGAUCCAGCCUUCAUUCCUCAACCGGGAGAGACGGCCGUUCAGAGGAAGGAAGACUGCGGAUCCUGAAAGUAAACUGAGAGCUGGAUGGUCGAGCGGAGGGUUCAUCAUGAGCUGACAAACAACAAAUACAGGGCAUUGGUCUCUGAUCUCAUGUUGUGGGAAGCUGUAAUCUAUAACUUUGGAAUAUUUUAACAUCUGUUCUAAAGAUGAUUAAAACAACUAUCAACUAUUAAAAAGCUCCUAAUUUUCGUCAUCUACACCAUGAGAUUCUGACCCCUCACCUCCGUCCUGCUCUCAGUUUUCCUGCCAGAUUUUUGUUAACACCAGUGAGAAUUAGCAGAGAGAAUGAAAGUCUGAUCAUCAAUUCCCCCAGCAGAGGAAGUGAUCAGCCUGGAUGAAAAUGAACUCUGCUGAUAAACCCGAGCCUAGUCCUAUAUCGUACCUGUGCUCUUUUUUAUGUCACUGUAAUAAUUUCCAUUAAAACAU